rnacentral:rRNA from 1 species
CCCGCUCAGAAACUCAAAGGAAUUGACGGGGGCCCGCACAAGCGGUGGAGCACGUGGUUUAAUUCGAUGAUACGCGAGGAACCUUACCUGGGCUCAAAUGUAUGUUGACGUAUUCUGAAAGGGAUACUUCUUCGGACAAUAUACAAGGUGCUACAUGGUUGUCGUCAGCUCGUGCCGUGAGGUGUCGGGUUAAGUCCCGCAACGAGCGCAACCCCUGCAUUCAGUUGCCAUCGGGUAAUGCCGGGCACUCUGGAAGGACUGCCAUCGACAAGAUGGAGGAAGGUGGGGAUGACGUCAAGUCAUCAUGGCCCUUAUGUCCAGGGCGACACACGUGCUACAAUGGCCGGCACAACGGGAAGCGAGUUCGCGAGGACGAGCGGAUCCCUCAAAGCCGGUCGCAGUUCGGAUUGAAGUCUGCAACUCGACUUCAUGAAGCUGGAAUCGCUAGUAAUCGUGGAUCAGCCAAGCCGCGGUGAAUACGUUCCCGGGCCUU